GACCUGGCGGUGUAGUGGUUAACACCUCUGAUCUCGGGAUAGCUGUUCGGAUAUCCGUAGCUCAUACCUGUUCGACUCAGGGCUAGGUCA